CACCGGCGGCUCGAGUGGUGGCCACUUUUAUUGGGUCUAAAGCGUCCGUAGCCGGCUUGGCAAGUCCCCUGGGAAAUCUGGCGGCUUAACCGCAGGACUGGCAGGGAUACUGCCAGGCUUGGGACCGGGAGAGGUGAGAGGUACCUCAGGGGUAGGGGUGAAAUCUUGUGAUCCCUGAGGGACCACCAGUGGCGAAGGCGUCUCACUAGAACGGGUCCGACGGUCAGGGACGAAAGCUGGGGGCACGAACCGG
rnacentral:rRNA from 1 species